rnacentral:rRNA from 1 species
GACGAACGCUGGCGGCGUGCCUAAUCCAUGCAAGUAGAACGCUGAAGCGAGGAGCUUGCUCUUCUUGCAUGAGUUGUGCACGGGUGAGUAACGCGUAGGUAACCUGCCUUGUAGCGGGGGAUAACUAUUGGAAACGAUAGCUAAUACCGCAUAACAUUGUGUUACACAUGUCGUUUUUUUGAAAUGCGCAUUUUCUCCACUACAACAUGGCCCUGCGUUGUAUUAGUUAGUAGGUGAGGUAACGGCUUACCUAGGGGACGAUACCUAGCCGACCUGAGAGGGUGAUCGGCCACACUGGAACUGAGACACGGCCCAGACUCCUACGGGAGGCAGCAGUAGGGAAUCUUAGGCAAUGGGGGCAAACCUGACCGAGCAACGCCGCGUGAGUGAAGAAGGUUUUCGGAUCGUAAAGCUCUGUUGUAAGUCAAGAACGAGUGUGAGAGUGGAAAGUGCACACUGGAAGGGUAGCGUACAAGAAGGGAACGGUAAAUUAGGG